CUUUUGAGUUCUCUACCUUUAAGACAUUAUUCAUUUUUUUUUCUUUUCCAGGAUUUCAUUUCCUGAGCAAUAUUUUCAAUGCUGGCAUUCCUUUUCCCUGUCUCAUCUUUUGAACUAAUCAGUUUCCCAGCUGUUACUGCACAAUAGUCUCCCAGCUCACUAAAUCAAACAAUAUGAGGAAUGGGUUACUGCCAUCCUUUUAUAGCUUCCUAUUUAUACAGAUGAGGAAACAGGUGUAAAGAAGGGAAAGCAUUUACUAAGGUUUCACAGGUUGCAUACUACCUUCUGUCUAUUCCUGAAGUGUCUUAAUGACUAAAGUUAAGGAUUAAGUAGAACUGAUGAAGAAAAAGGAACUAGAUAGCUCAGAGCAGAGAAUGCUGGUCCACCUUAGAUACUAGCUGUAUAACCAUGGGUUUUUUGAUUUAAGGCCCCUGGCAAAAAUGGAAAACUUAAAGAGAAGGAGCUUUAUAAGAAGAAGAAUUUGAGGAUCUUCAUUACGAGAAAGUUGACCUCACUACCUCUCCAUUGAGACAUAUAACCAUUUUGACCUUAUUUGGAGAUGCCAGAUUGAAUCUCUCAGAAGAAAUGAUGAGAAGAGAAUGGCACAUGAGCACUAAUUAACUGGUCAUCUAACUCAGCUUUGAAAUGAAUCUAUAAAUUAACUAACUCAUUUUAUUCGUACCAGACAAAAAUAUAUUCCCACAGAGAAAACAUUUGUUAUCCCCUCAGUGAAACCACUCAUAAGUUCAAUAAAGAAGGCAAAGUUCUUGAUAGAUGACAGGAUUAACAUAAAACAUAAUUCUAUAUGGAAUGACUUUUUCAUGUUAACAAGGGCAAAGCUUCUCAUCAAUAUUAAUCUUCCUGAUUUGGACUUUGGAUUCUGGUGAAGAUUCGGCUUUCUGUUUUGGAGACUUGAGCUGAAGAGGUACUAUUAUACUGGUGGGACUCUUGCCUUAUUGGUGUGAGAGACUGCCCUUUGUGGCUCAGCCUCUUCAGUGUUUGUCUUUUGUUGUUUAAAAGCCUGGCUGGAGACACUCUUGGGGGCUGCUGAGAUUCUCAUUUGGAUUCACAUUCACAGUCUGGAGGCACUCAAAACCAGACUAGGUAUUUUUAGCUAGGCAAUAUUUUCUAACUCCUUCCUACAUUUCCCUCUUACUAUCACUAUUUUGCUGUAAUAAAGCUACUAAAGCUAUUAACA
rnacentral:lncRNA from 1 species